AUUCCAUGAUCGGGACAAUCUAGGAUGUAGUCUUGGAAGCGCUCCCAUGCUUCUGGAACGGAUUCAUCAUGUUGUUGCUGAAAACUUGUAAUCUUCCCACGGAGAGC
rnacentral:snoRNA from 1 species